rnacentral:sRNA from 1 species
GAGGCAGGAAGAUCACUUGAGGCCACGAGUUUGAGACCAGCCUGGCAACAUAAGAAGACCUUGUCUGUACAAAAGCAAAAAAAAUUAGCCGGGCAUGGUGGCCCCUGUCUGUAGUCCCAGCUACUCAGGAGGCUGAGGUGGGAGUAUGGCUAGAGCCCAGGCAUUUGAGGUUACAAUGAAUUACGGUCGAUAGUACCACUGCACUCCAGCCUGGGUGACCAGAGUGAUAUCCUGGCUCCAGCUACUGUUUCAGCUCAUUAUUGACUACUUAGCUGAGUUCAAUUCCACACCAGCUGUCUUUACAAUGAUAACUGAGCAGUUGAAGAAGACCUACUUUAACAUCCUCAUCAAGCCCGAGACUUUGGCCAAAGAUGUACGGCUUUUAAUCCUGGAAUAUGCCCGUUGGUCUAUGAUUGACAAGUACCAGGCUUUGAUGGAUGGCCUUUCCCUUGAGUCUCUGCUGAGCUUCGUCAAAGAAUUCAAAUCCCAGCUCUUUGUGGAGGGCCUGGUACAAGGGAAUGUCACAAGCACAGAAUCUAUGGAUUUCCUGAAAUAUGUUGUUGACAAACUAAACUUCAAGCCUCUGGAGCAGGAGAUGCCUGUGCAGUUCCAGGUGGUAGAGCUGCCCAGUGGCCACCAUCUAUGCAAAGUGAAAGCUCUGAACAAGGGUGAUGCCAACUCUGAAGUCACUGUGUACUACCAG